GGGGGCGAACUGGGCUCGACCGGGUGUGGAAAGCGUAAGUGGCGUGUCGUGGUUGAUCGGUGGCCCACGUAAAAAGCCGAUUAAAUCCUUCAAUUGCCGAAGGUAAUUUCGCUUUGGCUGCCUAGUUUACUAGGGAGUCCGAGUCGAGGGCUGUAGCCGGAAUGGCCCAAAGACUCGUAUCACCCCAAUCCGGACCGCCUCGGGUCACUGCAGAGCACGCCCGCGGUUAAAAAAAGUUCUCAGCUAGCGACCGGGUAGCCCUGCCAGCGAGGCGCCCCGGCCGCGAAAUCAAAUCUCGCUGGACAUACACGUAGAAGCUUGCGUGGCCCCAUCGCGGGACGCGGGUUCGAUUCCCGCCGCCUCCAC
rnacentral:tmRNA from 1 species